UUGUCGCCGGAUCUAGAUUUCUUUCUCUCUCCAACAUCACGUUUCUUUUUCAUCUUCUGUUUUCUAAUUCAGCUUCUAUUUCUCUAUAUUCUUCCAUAAAGUUUCUAUUUCUUUAUUUGUCUUCCAGUAACAUCAGCAACAGUUGUAGGGUUUUUGUUUUUUUUUUAAUUCAGUUUCUCUUUCUCAAUUCAGUUGGCGCGACAGGCGGCGAUCGGCGAGGAGACUGGCAAAGCAAGAAGAAAGAAAAGGGAGAAGAUUUUGGCAAACGUUUUGGGAUUUCCAAGCUCCAUUCAAGAAGUCAGUUGGGCCUCCGAGAAGAUCACCUCUAGAUGGUAAAUUUGAUUGCAACUUCACCUUUAUCACCUUUAUUUUUCUUCUUCUUUUUCUUGAUAUGCAUCCAUUAGUGCGCUAACCUUUUUGUUGUUGCUUGAUGGAAAUAAGUUCUGUAUGUGUGGUUCUUUGCAAUUGUGCACGUAAUUACAAAAAGUUAUCCCAUAUAAUGAAGUAGAUUUGGUCAGUUAUAUGAGUGAAGUAGAAGUGAAGUAGAAGUCCUGGAAUUCUUGCCAUUGGUGAUUAUUUGAAAGUUAUUUCUCUUUCUCUCUCUCUCUCUCUCUCUCUCUUCCGGCAGCUUCUUCCUUCAAGGUUUGCAGCUUCUUCUCAAUCUUUAAUGCUGGCAGAUUCGCCCUUCAAUGUCAUUGCUUCUUUUCUACAAGCUUCUUGCUUUAAAUUUGCAAACUUUGUGGUUCGUUGGAAUUGAAAGAAGAGCAACAUUAUUGCUAUCUUUAUUUUAUUGUUCUUUUGACAUGUACUAAGGGCUUUGAGCAUAAUUAUUGGUAUCUUUUCUUUUUCCUCAUUA